UGCAUGCAAAAUGACGCCAUCUCUCUUCCAAAUGCUGCUAUUGGCUGCUGCCUCGAUAGGAAUAGCGCAAACGCGGCAUUUACUCGCCAAGGAAUUGGCAAAACACCAAGUGACGUCAUCACUGGGCACAAGGGUUGCUAGCGUUGAAACGCAGAGCAUUCUCAAAUAUUACAACAAUAACAACACGAGCUUUGCGGUAGAGGGCGCAAACGCCAGCUCAACACAGCAGCCGCAGCCGCAGCCAGCAUUGGAGCAUCCAAGGCAAAGACAAUUGAGGCUCGAGGACGACGGCAACGGCAUCGCUUUGACUGUCUACAUCAGAUCGCCGAAGAGUGUAGUUCAGGACUGGAGUUUGGUGUGCCAGCAGCUCUGCGGAGCUGGCCUGGGCGGUCCGCCGUGCGAUUCCCACUGCCACAGCAGCGAGGAACCGUCGCUUCUACCAGCGUUUUCCGGCUACAAACAAAAUAUUUGCAAGGAUCUUUGUAGACUACAGCUCGGUGAUCAAAGUUGCAACUGCACGGCUGACGAAGCGGUCACCACUAUGUCACAAAACACUACGAACUCCCAGUACGAAUGGGGCAAUGUAGUCUGCAACAGCUUUUGUGAACAUUCCAGAGAAACAUUGACCGGCUGUAGCAUCUGCAUGGAGGACGACGCGGAAGUGCAGGUUUCGAUGCGAUCCACGGUGGAAACAACAACACCAGACUGGAAGGAGUUGUGUGUCGCUUUAUGUAAAACUGGCGAUGGCGGGUCUUUGUGCAAUUGUGAUUUGGCGCCGUUUUUUUAAAGAUCUAGCAGGGCGCGAGCACGGGUGGGCAACAUUAAACAUUCGGAUGUUUGAAAGCGACCUAGCCAAAGAGACUCAAAGGGGGUCCUUGCUACCUGUGAAAUGUUGCUGACUUUUAGCUGCUCUGCGAAGUCUCUUAAAUGAAAUUUAUUUCGACGACAACACUUUAUAUUAACUGCCAUUCGACUUUGUUUUUCUCUCGAAAGAAAUCGUUUAGUCCGAAGCAAGUCAACUUAGUUGUUGUCCAAAGGAAGUUAUCUUCAAAUUAAUUAUAUUAUCUUUAAAAGCAAAAAUAAAUAAAUAAAAACUUUAUAAAUACAUAUGUGUGUGUAGCUGAUAUACAUAAUAAAAAUAAAAGUCAUGCAUAUGUAUAAAAAAAUAAUUGUCCUUUUUGUGACUACACAACACAAAACUAGGCAAAUGAAGAGAGGCACGAAAGGAGGAGUGUUACGAAAAUCUGUUCGCCUAUUAAUUCAUAUACAACAAGAAAAAUAUAUAUAAAACGAGUAAAAGUUAAUAAACAAUUACAUAGUUGAAUGUUGUGAAGUCAGA